UACGAGGGGGGCGAGCGUUGUUCGGAAUUAUUGGGCGUAAAGGGUGCGUAGGCGGUUCCGCAAGUCCUGUGUGAAAUCUUCGGGCUCAACUCGAAGUCUGCACGGGAAACUGCGGGGCUUGAGUGUGGGAGAGGUGAGUGGAAUUCCCGGUGUAGCGGUGAAAUGCGUAGAUAUUAGGAAGAACACCGGUGGCGAAGGCGGCCAUUUGGCUCGGUACUGACGCUCAGGCGCGAAAGCGUGGGGAGCAAACAGG
rnacentral:rRNA from 1 species